GGGGUUGACUGGAUUUGACAGCGGGUCGAGGUGAUGCGUAAGCAUGCGGAGUGACGACUGUAAACUCCAUAAUCCAUUCGGUCAGAAAUUUAAUUGGCGAAAACAAGUACGCUCUCGCUGCCUAAUCGAAGCAUAGUAGAUUACUGGCUUUAUCCCGUCACCAGGUGAUGGGACGAGACAUCGCUCAACAGGAUGUUGUUCCGAAUCUGGUUGGUCAAGCGGUGCAGGGAAAAUCGGGAAUAGUCCUCUUAGGUCCCGAUGAGGGGAUGAAACUUUAGGGAAUAAGGCGUCGGUUGGUGGUCCGGGUCUUGCCGCCGCACGAAAAUGAAGGCCGGAAUAAGCAUGUAGAAAGCGUAUUGUUUCCCUGUUUGGACGAGGGUUCGAUUCCCUCCAGCUCCACU
rnacentral:tmRNA from 1 species